rnacentral:rRNA from 1 species
GCACAUGCUGUGAGCUCGAUGAGUAGGGCGGGACACGUGGUAUCCUGUCUGAAUAUGGGGGGACCAUCCUCCAAGGCUAAAUACUCCUGACUGACCGAUAGUGAACCAGUACCGUGAGGGAAAGGCGAAAAGAACCCCGGCGAGGGGAGUGAAAAAGAACCUGAAACCGUGUACGUACAAGCAGUGGGAGCACGCUUAGGCGUGUGACUGCGUACCUUUUGUAUAAUGGGUCAGCGACUUAUAUUCUGUAGCAAGGUUAACCGAAUAGGGGAGCCGAAGGGAAACCGAGUCUUAACUGGGCGUUAAGUUGCAGGGUAUAGACCCGAAACCCGGUGAUCUAGCCAUGGGCAGGUUGAAGGUUGGGUAACACUAACUGGAGGACCGAACCGACUAAUGUUGAAAAAUUAGCGGAUGACUUGUGGCUGGGGGUGAAAGGCCAAUCAAACCGGGAGAUAGCUGGUUCUCCCCGAAAGCUAUUUAGGUAGCGCCUCGUGAAUUCAUCUCCGGGGGUAGAGCACUGUUUCGGCAAGGGGGUCAUCCCGAC